UACGUAGGGGGCAAGCGUUGUCCGGAUUUAUUGGGCGUAAAGAGCGUGUAGGCGGCCAGAUAGGUCCGUUGUGAAAACUGGAGGCUUAACCUCCAGCGGUCGAUGGAAACCAUUUGGCUAGAGUCCGGAAGAGGAGAGUGGAAUUCCUGGUGUAGCGGUGAAAUGCGUAGAUAUCUGGAAGAACACCAAAGGCGAAGGCAGCAUCCUGGCUCGGAUCUGACGCUCAUGUGCGAAAGCUAGGGGAGCGAACGGG
rnacentral:rRNA from 1 species